rnacentral:rRNA from 1 species
UGGGGAAUUUUGGACAAUGGGGGAAACCCUGAUCCAGCCAUCCCGCGUGUGCGAUGAAGGCUUUCGGGUUGUAAAGCACUUUUGGCAGGAAAGAAACGUCAUGGGUUAAUACCCCGUGAAACUGACGGUACCUGCAGAAUAAGCACCGGCUAACUACGUGCCAGCAGCCGCGGUAAUACGUAGGGUGCAAGCGUUAAUCGGAAUUACUGGGCGUAAAGCGUGCGCAGGCGGUUCGGAAAGAAAGAUGUGAAAUCCCAGAGCUCAACUUUGGAACUGCAUUUUUAACUACCGGGCUAGAGUGUGUCAGAGGGAGGUGGAAUUCCGCGUGUAGCAGUGAAAUGCGUAGAUAUGCGGAGGAACACCGAUGGCGAAGGCAGCCUCCUGGGAUAACACUGACGCUCAUGCACGAAAGCGUGGGGAGCAAACAGG